UCAUGAGAGUCACUGUGAGCAG
rnacentral:misc_RNA from 1 species